rnacentral:rRNA from 1 species
GAUGAACGCUGACAGAAUGCUUAACACAUGCAAGUCAACUUGAACUUCGGUUUGGGUGGCGGACGGGUGAGUAACGCGUAAAGAACUUGCCUCACAGAUAGGGACAACAUUUGGAAACGAAUGCUAAUACCUGAUAUUAUGAUUAUAUGGCAUCGUAUAAUUAUGAAAGCUAUAUGCGCUGUGAGAGAGCUUUGCGUCCCAUUAGCUAGUUGGAGAGGUAACGGCUCACCAAGGCGAUGAUGGGUAGCCGGCCUGAGAGGGUGAUCGGCCACAAGGGGACUGAGACACGGCCCUUACUCCUACGGGAGGCAGCAGUGGGGAAUAUUGGACAAUGGACCAAGAGUCUGAUCCAGCAAUUCCGUGUGCACGAUGAAGUUUUUCGGAAUGUAAAGUGCUUUCAGUUGGGAAGAAAAAAAUGACGGUACCAACAGAAGAAGUGACGGCUAAAUACGUG